CCCAGGUAGCGUGCACAAGAAAUUAGGGCUUUCGCAAGAUGCCGUAAUGAAUUGCAGCCCCAAGUUCCAGCCGUGCUCUGCCUACGCCCACGGCGUGCUGCAGGGGCAGAGUUACCCAGCUCAAUGCCACCGCCACCGCAACGGCAGAGCAUCUGUGUCAAGGGCCAGCGCGGGGCCGUCAGCACUGCGGGAACACAGAGCCACAGCUCCCUGCCUUCAUAUGCUGUGUCAUAAGCUAGGAUCAUAUGGUGCAUCUUGCAGCAGUAAUCAGGUGACUGAAAAUCAGGACAUGAAAGGGCUUUGGCAAUGCCAAAAGCAAAACGUAAGAAAAAAACUUUCCUCUCCCCUUACUCUGUAGAAGUUCAGUAUUGUGCAGAUGAUCCGAAAUUUUCUGAAGUGCUAAAGGCUGACUGUGGGACGUAAGUGUUUGACGUUGGGUACGGGGAUCUUCUGCUUCUACAAUAAAUGAGACACUUCUUCACAGGGAAGUCUUCGGACUUUCCAGGCAAGAGGUAAUGGCAGAAACCUGAUAUUGUUGGAGGCUGGCUGUAGGAAAGGCAACUGCUAAUGGCUAGCGUUGAUGUUCUGCCGCACUUUGGACUUAAAAGUACGUGUUUUAUGGUGACGGGCGAAGGGAAGCUGAACUUUAAAGGCUUCACUUGCUGUAGCAGGAGGCCUCCAGUUGAAUGUCCAGCUUGACUCCAGCCCAGUCCGCGCCACUCACCGAGUCAGCCUGCGCCUGGGGAGCCCCGCGCAAGGAAAGGGAAGAGCGGCAGCUUGAGCCGGACCCCCGGCGCGGGCAGCACGAGUGGCUGCUCCCGAGAAAAGUGACAGCUACCUCUGGAAGAGUGACCAGCUGGGUACUGCUGCAUACUGGGGCACCGAACAGUCAAGGCCAUAAAGUGGGAAGUACACUGUAUUCCCUUGAUUCGGCAGGGCAAACACGGUCACUACCACCCCGUGGGGCUCUGCAGCAUGUCACCCAAGCACGGUGCUGAAAACGCAGCGGUGACCGUCUGCGUUCACAGGAGUGUGGGAGAAAAGUGUCAUUAGUGCAAACGCAGGGGCCAGAAGCGCUUGUACUACAGACGACUAUUGAUUUCCAAAAAGAAAGCGACUGAUGAAUUGCUGCAGGUCCAGCUCUAGCAGAUGCCCGAGUGCUGCUUGACCCAGCGCUCUCCACGUGCCUGCAGGGAGUGACUCCCCCAGCAGAAGCAGACAAAGAUGAAUGGCUCAUUUCCCCCGUAAUGCACCACAGAAACAGGCUUUUAUGACAAAUAGAGCACAGACCAAGACGGAAAGGGCGACAGUCAUUUUCGAAGGUCACACGUACCAUUUCUUUAUGGCAAGUUUGCCUUCUGUGACUGACAAAAGCAGGACAGAUCAAGUGUCUUCCAACAGACCUGGAUUAAAAAUGAAGUCAUGUUACCUGGAGAACUGACAGCCCCACCAGAAAUAAUAGAGGCUGCUGACAGUUCUGGUUUCACAAUAAGAAGCAUCUUCCCACGUUGUCAAAAGAGCUUCUCUGGUAUGGGCAUAAAUAAGGCAUUAUUUGAAUGGAAAUGUUAAUGGCAAAGAGCUAUAAAUCAUAUUGGUCUGUUGUAAAAAUACACCGUAGCUGAAAAAUGCAUUCUUGUUUCUCAUACGUAUGAUAAUACAUAUGUGUGUAUAAACAAGAUAUGCAUAUCUAUUCGUAUGUCUAUACAUUUGUGUAUAAUUCUACGUACGUGUUGUACACAAGUUGGUAACUAAAAAUACUUAGUAAUCAGUCCUUCCCCUAAGAGCAAACGGUUGGUGUGAUGCACUGAAGGCUGUUGUGCAAGAUUUGGCUAAGUAUCUUUCCCAUACAUAAAGGUUGUAACGUAGCAACCAUUGUUUUCUGCUCAGAGGACGCUAUUUCCGAGCUAAUUGUUCCUAGCCUUGUUAGGUGGCUGCUGUCACGGUUCUUGACGCGCUGCUGAGCCGGACGAGAAGCACAGCGGCUUUGAUCAACUACAGUCUCGAUGAAGCUGGCCUUGGAGAAAGAGGCGUCGCGAACAAGGGCUCACCCUUUGAUGGCACGCUCUGUGGUGAAGGAGGUAUUUAGCUUAAGAGCCUGAAGUGUUGAGACGGCCUCGCUGUGACGGCAAGCUGCGCCUGGCUGCUGGCUGGGCUUGUGGCCACGGCUCGGGAAGAACCCACAGCCUGAGGCCACGCUGCAAACCCUGAGCCGAAGGCGGUCAGCUCUUUUACUAUGUCAUAUGUAUGUAUAAAUACGUACAUACAUACACACACACACACAUCCCUGCGUGCACGUCGGGAUGAAGAAGAAUUCCAGCUCUCAAUGCUCAGAACAACUUUCUUCACCUGAAGGACCACAGCAGCUGACCCCAAGGGACAGUACCUGCAGCGUCCAGCUGCUGAGCCCGGACGAUCACCGCUACCGUGGCACUGCUGCUAGAAACCGGGGGUGCCCCCAUCGCCCCGGGGGCCGACAGUAACGGGAACACCACGGGAGCAUCCUGCGAUUGCUGCUGCGAGCGAAACCCCUGGCAGGGAGAAGGAAGGGAGUUGAACAGGAGAGGUACCAGCCCAAGUACCUCUCUUCCAGCAGGCACCGUCCCCGGAGGGGCUCUGGCUGCUCGCCCGGGGACAGGACGGGGACCGGCCUGUGACCGCAGAGGCCAGGGCAGUCCCGAGCCCGUGCCCUGGCAGGCAGAGGCUCCCGCAGCGGGCACGGCCGGCAGCGGGCACGGCCGGCAGCGGGCACGCUCCCCCCGCCGCCGGGCUCGCGGCCGAUGGAGGUGUCGGGUGCGAUGCCAAUAUAGGGUUAUAUAAAUGUAAAAGCAUUUUAUAUAAGCCUAUUUUAUCUGCAAAUCAUUUAUAUUUAGAACACCUAUUUCUACUGGAAACACUAAAACCAUAUUACAUAAGAGCUUGUUUAAAUCCUUUGGCUUAAGGUUUGGGCAGGGGGAGGGGUUGGUUCAGGCACGGUGCAUUCAGGCUGCGUUUUAUAAUCAGAGCCUCAACAGGCAGCCGAAAGCUGGUCUUGGAAUCCUUUUUGCUUUCACUCCACACUGCCCUGACAAUAGCAGAAUGCUUCGUUGGAGGGAAAUUUUCCUCUCGCUCAGUGCUGCCUUCAUGUUUGGAAAUUUUCAUUUGUAAUGCUCUGGAUGUCUUGCCAACAUAGCAGAGACGGCAGCUCAGCACCGCCCGGCCAACCUCCUGAAGUCCGGGCUGGUACAGCGCGCGGGAACGCUACUGACAUCACCUGAGUGACUGCGGCGUCGUUCUCAGAAAUUACAAAAAAAGCAUUAAUUGGAACCAACUAUUUAGCAAUAUAAAAUGACUUACCUCGCCAUUCACGCAACAAUAUUUUCUAACGAAUUAAUUAUUCCCCAAGCCCUUUCCUGAGGGGAAGGCAGGAAAGAUGGUGACAGCGGUCACAAAAUACAUGUAAAACUGCGCCGGAGGCAGCUGAACCACUUUGGUUACACGGCCACGUGACUGCAGAAGCCGGCCCUAGGGCCAGCGCACGCCGCUCUGCCACGGCCGUGAAAAGGUUCGUUUCCCAUCAUAUGCCAGAACAAACCGCUUUAGUACAGGGUUGGGGUGCGACUGCACCGCGCCGCACCGCUGGGCCACGCGACGGUAAGAGCGUGGGGGGCGAGGGGCCGGCGGGGCUUCCCGCAGGACUCCCGAGGGAGCAGAGCAGCUCCGAGAGCCCGGGCAGAGAUACGGCCAGCGCUGCGCCCUCCGGCAUCACCCCCGCGGCCGGGCGCGGCGCGCGCCGCCGUCACCACCGUCCACCCCGAGGCCGGGCGCUGCCCCGGCCUCGCAGCGUGCGUCCCAGCCAGCCCCGCUCCUCUGCCGCCGCGAAGGCCGGCCGGCGAACCCCGGCACAGCCCAGCGUCCUGACUCGCCUUUCCGAGGCGGCACGGCCAGAGCGUUGUCUCCAGGCGGGAUGUGCUACCUCUACCAAGUGCCACCGCUCCCCGGCACCGGCACACUUGGCUCUCCGACAGGAGCAGCGCAGAGCUCUCCCGCUGCUUUCUCAUCUGGACGCUACCUUUAAUCACCAUCACCGCUCCAAUUCUCCCUGCAGCUGCUCCAUAUUCAGAUGACGUGGUUCAUUAGUUUCUAUAAAUGGCCAGGACAUUGCAUAGAUUUCAGGGACAAAGUAAGAGCUAAAGCUGUAAAUGACUUUUUCUCCUUGGCCGAAGACUCCUUGCAAGGUGACUCAAACUCCAGCAUCUGGUGGAGCCCAGUUUGUCCCACCCCAGCCAGCACCCUGCUCCAGCAGGGCGAGCCUUAACCGCUCCAUCUUCCAUUUUCCCUGCUCUAAAGUGGAAAAGACAAAACACAAAUUUCUUAGGGGUGCGGGAGGAAAGCAACUAACAUUUGAGCAUGCUGCAAAACCUGCUGGGACUUUCUUUCCCUCGCCAGGAAGCGCAGGUGGCUUAAACUGUUCGAAACCGAUCUCAUUCCCAAAUUUCUGUGAGCUCAAAUUUCUGGGCGGGCGAUGGGGCUGGGGAGGCGCGUGGCAGCGAGACGGCAGGCGGGUGCCCUGACACCCGGAGGAAACGUGCCCCGCUGGCAAAUUACCCAAGGGCACGAGCAGAGGGGUCUCCAGCUUGAUUUUUACAGCAGCUUCGUGAGUAUUUUAAGGAGAAGGUGGGGAAGGGCCGAGGCGGUCUGCCGCUGACCUGCUGCCACUGUCCUCGCUGGCGGCGUGCGGGGCAGCCGGAGCUUUCCCAACGCCGGGCUGCCCGACCCCCCCAGGGGCCGGGGGCCGGUGCCAGGCAGCUGCCCUGCCUGCUUGCCCAGCUCCCCACCGCCGCACAUCGCCGCUCAAUUAGCUUAAGCAAAUUCUUCUCAUACUUCACUUUAGCCAGACACUGUAAAUUGGAUUAAAGUGGUGCCUGGAGAGAUUUCUAGAGCCAAAUAUUUAAAACUAACAUGAACUUGAACCGUUUUCUGGGCCACCACAGGGGUGCCCCCCCCCCCACCCCCCAGCGUGCGGGGGGCUCCCCAGCUCCAGCUCCGCGGGUUUGAAGCCAGCUCUCCUGCGACACUGCCCGCGGAUGCUAAAAUUGAUGUCAAAGCCUGCAACAGCGAAGAAGUUCAGCUGAAAAACAUAUCUUUCAUUUCUGCUUGGACAAAAUUUUACUGGGGCUGAUUGUUAAAGGAGCUGGGCAUCCCCCUGCUCCGGGGAACUGCCUGAGCUCCCGGGGCAGGCAGGCCGCUAAAUCCAGCUGAUUAUUUCACUUUAAGCAGUCCAUCACCUUCUAUUAUUUCUCACCUGUCGUAAAAGUCAAGUGGUGUAGUGAACAUCCGUGAUGUUCAUGGAUGAGCAUAGCAUUUCAACUAUUUUAUGGACCCGGAAGGCAAAUCCGUCUCAUUUUUUGAACGUGGAAGAAGAGAAACCGAGGCCGUCGGAAAUACUAGUCAUGCUGGCAGCCUAAGGACCCAGAUCAUCCGCAAUGCUGCUGAGAAAAGUAACCUGCAGAUACACCUGGGAAACCCAGGGGAGCCCAGCUUCGCUGCUGCGGGACCUGCACGGUGCUGGGGGGAGCCCACCGUUUUCCUGAGCUUUCCUUCCUCUGCUGAAAGGCUACGGAGCGCUACAAUGACGCCGGUCUGGUUGUGGCACCUAACUGGGAGAAGACCAGAUGAUCGAGACGAAUCACUCUGUGUUAACCAGCCCAGCUGAAUAAAACUGAUGACACGGUCCUCACCCACGGACUGUUUUGCAUCCAUCUGAGUCUGCAUUGUAUUGACAAACACUGGUGACUUGCAAUGUAUAUAGCAGAUUCAAUUUGACCACAGAAGGCAAGUAAGUGGAUAGCAGUUUGGACUCAUGGAAGACGGCAAUUUUUGUUUUAUCUUAAAGAAUAAAGCAGUUUGGCUUAGCCUCAGAGAUUUUAAGUAAGCAUUUUCUAAUGGCUCAAUGAACUCAUAAAUUAUGGGGUUAAGGCCGAGUUCACGCUUGCUUCUGAGCACGGUCUCCAUGUGCUGGAGACUGAGACUUGGCAACGUAAAGCCCUCUCGUGAGCCUGCCCCCUUCUCCCAGGCUGAAACCAGCCUCUGGCUCCCAAGCUCUCCCCACUCGCAAAGGAGCAGAAACGCCUCAGCGAUGGGUGCGCGAGGGAUUUGAUGAGCUGGCGGAGCACUGGUCAGCAGCCCAUCGCCAGCUGCACCAAAAAACUCUGACAGUUCCCAAACUGGCUCCAGGUGAUGGGAACCCGCUCCCACACCUGCAGGGACCAGCUACCCCUCCUGUAAAUGUACACCGGUAAGCGUAGCUGUCAGCCCCUGAAAGGAAGAGUCAGUUAGCAAGAGAAAAACACUGUGGUUUUUAUUUUGUCUUAGGCUGGAAGGAAGCCACGGAUCACAGCUCGGAGAGCAGGCUGCGAUCAGCUGAGAAAAAUACAGCUCCCUAGUGACAGCCGAGCUGUGAAAUAGAGCUUCGUUUUGCUGCUUGGCAGCGCCUGUGAGGUCGUAUCAGUUAAAUAAAUACGAUGCCAGGCUGAUGUGUUGUAGGGAAUGGUUUAUGACCUUCAUCCGAUGAAAAAGAGAGCAGGCAGGUGUUGAGAGAAGGUGAACGAACACGUUUGUGUUAAUAGCCAUAAUCAGUCAUAUUUUGGAGAACGCGAGACGCCAGCCCGCUGCCAGCAUAGCCGUGCUGCCUCUGCCUCGGGGGUUUGGCGUGGGCCUACAAACAUGCAAGAACUGGGUGUUUUCCCCCAGACAAACCCCGUGUGAAAGCCUCCCUGCUCCCGGCAGCCUUCCGCAGCCAGCCAGCCCUGCAGCCCCGCUCUGUUACCAGCUUUCCAACAUCCUGUUUUCACCGGGUUAUUUUAAUCUCCGUUUCCCAUCAUAUUUUUCCUCCUGCCCAUGCCAACGCAGACUGUAAUUCCUGGCAGGCAGGGCGGAAAUCUCCUCCCCGGGCUGCGCCAGCAUUUUGGAAGAUGAGCCGGACUCUCCCCUGAUCGCGCCUGGCUCCUCUCCGCUGCCGGCGCUGGUACCUGCUGCUGGCCCCAAACCCCCACCACGGCCAACCGCCUGCUUCACAGCAAGUCUUUUUGAAUUCACUCAGCCACUAAAUUGCUCGAGCAGCUCUGUGCUUCCAUAUUUUGCUCCACGAUGGCUGAAGAACCAGAAAACGUGCUUCAUUGCUGACAUAAUUAUGCUUUUAUCAGGACAAGAGAAACGAUGCAAGGUACUGAUUAGCUAUCCCGGAGCCACACAGGUAUGGACAGUCAGACUCCUUCAUGUCCUCCCUAGCUAGCGGUGAAGUUUUGGCAGCUGCAAGCUGUGAGCCGCUCAGUGGCUGCCCAGCUUGCCGCGGCUCCACCUAGGCUUGCAGGUUUUGCUUUACUCUUAAAUUUCCUCUGUCCUGGAUGAUGAAUCUCCUUGCCCUGUACAGGUCCCUAAGCCAGUCACUGUGAGGUUUUUUAUACCUUGUCUCGCUGGAAAUCGAUGCUGUACUCUAGGUGAUGCAGUUAGAAAGGUCAAUAGAAAUACGGAUGUAAGUGCCAGCAGUACCCAAAGGACGUUCCCAUCCGCUCUGCACUCCAAUAGCUGUAUAGACGGGCACCCUGCUGCUUCACAGGGCUAGGUGUGAUGUAAAAUUGAGACAUUCAAACAAUCGAGGGUCUCUCUGCAUAGAGCAAGUAAAAAGAUUAUAAAGAAUCAUGGAAAAAUCAGUGAAAUGUGUGAGGGUUCAAAAGAUAAUUUAGUAUGUAGAAGUAACUUAAUCUUUCAGUACAUAUCAACGUCAAACUUGCUAAGAGACUCUGUAGCAUUAGCAGAAAAAAAUCUGAGGCAGACAUAACACAAAAUAAAAACCAAACCUAUCUGCUUUCUUAAUCAUAGGCUUUAAAAAUGUCUCUGCUAGUUAUCCAGCUAUUUCAAGAGCUGCACUGAUUAAAUCUAUACCCAAACAAACACAGAAGUCAGAAUAAAUCUGUUAUUCAGGUCUAUCGCUUCAAAUGAUUAAAAAUGAUAAAAUUCAAGAAAGACAUUAAAUGGAGACAUUGUUUCUCUACAGCCUCUAGCACUGAGGAUUUAAGCUCAAAUCCACUCUGAACGGCAUCCCCAAGAACGAGAAUAAGAAAAUGUCCUUUUAUUGCUAGAGUCUGGGUUUGUAGCAUCCACAGCUGAAGCCUGAGCUGCAAAAAAAAAGUGUGACUAAGGAUCAACCAUCUUGUAAAGCAGAAACUGUACCCUGGCUAUACUUCUGGUGUGGAGACACCUUCUUGGGAAGACGCUGCGGAGACGAUGACACAGAAAAAUGACUAGGUUUAUACUUACCUUGCACCAGCCAUGGUGGGAUUAAUGGGGCAAAGAAGCUUCCACACUGCACAACACCAGAGCCUUGGGGUAUGGCUUGAGGAACAUGGCAAAAUUCAGCUCUAAAGGAAAGCCUCUAUUUUAUUAGGCCUCACGUCUAUUCUGAGUGGCCAGUAAUCUUUAACCAAGCAGGCAGGAGAUCACCCACAUGCCUUGGACUGUACUCGGCCACAAAUGAUUACUAGAAGAAUAUAAUAAGCCUAAACCAGAAGUUACGAGAAAUUUGGAAAAAUCAAAUGUGUAAGCGAAGACACAAGUAAUGUAGAACUAUACUGAAUUAGGACAAAGCGUAUGAGCCUUCUACCAAUUAGGAAACAAAUGUUGAAGCUGAAGAAAAACCCCAACAAACCAUCAGCCACCAAUUUAGUAAUGACUCUGCACCCUAGAAACACCGAUCGAGUGUAUUAUCAGUAAGGGUAGGUUAACCCCAGUCCCCCACUAAUGCAGAAGUCCUUCCCCAGGUCGCCUUCCGUGUAGCCGUGCUCUUACUCAGCGUCCCUCCAUCCCAGGGGACAGCAAGGGACCCCAGCCCCCGUGGCAGCGCAGGGUGCGCUAGCCAGAGCGGGAGCCCCGCCACGCCGCCUGCAGUCCUGCUGGUAAUCACAGCCCGGCACCUGUAUUUUAUCAACAAGGGAACCAAAGGUGGGAAGGGUGAGUGGGUUGUGAAAGGUAAUGGUAUCGCUGGCUCCGAAGCCGGACAAGUCGUAAGUCUGCUGUCCCACACCCAACUGCAAAAAAGCACGCUUUUGUAUUUCAUACCACACGUAACAUCCAGGCUGGGUGACAUGAAGGUUAAAAGUAAUUUUGGCUGCAGUAGACCAGCACAUAGAUUACAAGAGGAAUUUUAUUAUCAGAGCACUAUAGAAGGAAGGGCUGCUUUGCAGUCAGGAUGCAACAGAUGCCAGAGGAAAGCCAAUGACACGAUGUGGCUGCUGCCAGCUAUUGACACAGCUAUUUGCAGAGCGCGGCCGUACCCGGCUAUCACCACGUCCACAUGGGCUACCAGGGCAGAGCUCCCUCCGCACAUGGUCUGGUGCAUGCAAAUCACCUUAUCAGCGAUGCUAAUUCUCAGUCGAAAGAAGCCAUUGAACUUUUCAACAGUCAAUAUUUUAAGGAGUUCUCAGAUAGCACUCGGAGUAAGCAGAUAACCAUUUUAAAUAUAGAGACGCUGGAAUGGAAGCCCAUGAGUGCUGGGUGCCAGCAGUGAUCUGGAUUAUUUGCUUGUUACUAAAUACCCCACAGCAUUACUUCCCAGGUUGUUCAGCUCAAGUCUGACGCAAACAGUGGCAGAACAACAAACAAGAAUUUGCAGGAUUUUGUAAGCACCAAAAUAACUGAAGGAAUAAGGAACAAAUUGGUUCGGGGCUGCUGUUGCUCAGGAUUGCAUCUUUGGAAGGACGAGGACAGUUUACUCUUUAAUUACGUGUAGAACCUAACAAAAGGCUUGACAAGCAUUUCCAAAUCUCAGCAACAGAAAAGCAACACGAGGAUAAAUAAAGGAAAGAAGACUUGUGAGAGCAGAUUUAGUUCAAGGAUGCUUUUCCCCUCUAUCGAUACCCAGAAAUAGUCCGCACCACAGCGUGUCACUGAAUUCCUCAGGACCCCAAGUACAAUUCUGUUUUGUAGCAUACAUGCUCGUAGAGUAGGGGAUGAAAGUCCACACAUGGAAAAACUUGCCACCCCUGACUAUCGCAGAGUUUAGAAGGGGACAGAAAAAAAUAGUAAAAAUAGUUCCAGAGCAACAUUAGUUCCAUAUGGAAGAAAACCUCUCCAGGAGGAAGCCUCCCCCCUGUAAAAAAGGCAUUAAAAACCUGUUCGUAAACUAACGCCUCCAGGCAAUAAGCCAGACCAAAGUGAGAAUUUAGCAAGGCUUUAAACGUAUGUACCAGGCACGCUUCUAAGAACUUCCACAGCACAGAAAAACAAAUAGCAUGGCGAUGGAAAAACAAAGUAAAUCAAGGUGUAUAAAUUCAGCUGCAGGCAGUGGACUCCUUGCGGCAGAUACAGGCUAUCCUGCUGACCAGGGGCAGAGAAGAUGGAGCAGCAGGGACUGGCCAGCUGCCCCAGUUCCCAGCUGGUUUACAGAACCUGGUAGCCAGCCUACAGCCCCAGCAGACCAGCUGUGCUCAAGGCAAAGACUAGCUAAGAUGCACUACUCAUGCUGUAAUCACACCACUAACGGCAGCGUGGGCAGUCUUAUAUAAAUAGCUGAGAUUAUAUAUAUAUAGCAACUCUUAUUUGAUUAAAAUUAAAUACAAUUGUGAGAAAGUUAACUGACCAUGACUGAGAACUCCUGAUCAGAACAAACUGUUCAGCAUUGUGCCAGUUUGCAAUUAUUAGAUCUCAUGUGAUGACAGUACAUGUCAAAUGCUCUGUCCUGGUCUGUUCAGCAACGAUAAACAUCACCUCUUCCAGCUGAAGUUCUCGUUAGAUAUACUUUAAAAUGCUGCCUUUUAACUAAAGACCACAUAGAGAAGAAAAGGGAUGGGCAUUGCUGAUGAGCGUAGGACAGAAGCCAUCUUCCACCCACCGCGAACACCCCAUGAAACCCUGCACUUUCUGCAGGGACUCCCGCGGUUUACCAAGGGAGAAUCCGACACCACACUCAGAGUAUCUUCACUUUCUAGCGGCAGAUUUCACUUUGCGUGGUCCUUACAAAGUCCUUUGACCUUCUUUAAUCAUCUCCACAUAAGGAAUUACUUCUACUUAAUAAGCCAGACUGCCUAGCUGUACCCGCCGAUGAUCCGUGGAUGAAGCCUGUUAUGAGCAGGGUU